rnacentral:rRNA from 1 species
UACGUAGGGAGCAAGCGUUGUCCGGAAUCAUUGGGCGUAAAGCGCGCGUAGGCGGCCCUGUAAGUCCGUUGUGAAAGUCAAAGGCUCAACCUUUGAAAGCCGAUGGAUACUGCAGGGCUAGAGUCCGGAAGAGGCGAGUGGAAUUCCCGGUGUAGCGGUGAAAUGCGCAGAUAUCGGGAGGAACACCUAUGGCGAAGGCAGCUCGCUGGGACGUUACUGACGCUGAGACGCGAAAGCGUGGGGAGCAAACAGG